rnacentral:rRNA from 1 species
GAUGAACGCUGGCGGCGUGCCUAAUACAUGCAAGUCGAGCGAACGGACGAGAAGCUUGCUUCUCUGAUGUUAGCGGCGGACGGGUGAGUAACACGUGGAUAACCUACCUAUAAGACUGGGAUAACUUCGGGAAACCGUAGCUAAUACCGGAUAAUAUUUUGAACCGCAUGGUUCAAAAGUGAAAGACGGUCUUGCUGUCACUUAUAGAUGGAUCCGCGCUGCAUUAGCUAGUUGGUAAGGUAACGGCUUACCAAGGCAACGAUGCAUAGCCGACCUGAGAGGGUGAUCGGCCACACUGGAACUGAGACACGGUCCAGACUCCUAUGGGAGGCAGCAGUAGGGAAUCUUCCGCAAUGGGCGAAAGCCUGACGGAGCAACGCCGCGUGAGUGAUGAAGGUCCUCGGAUCGUAAAACUCUGUUAUUAGGGAAGAACAUAUGUGUAAGUAACUGUGCACAUCUUGACGGUACCUAAUCAGAAAGCCACGGCUAACUACGUG